rnacentral:rRNA from 1 species
CAGUAGCCGCGGGAAUACGAAGGGGGCUAGCGUUGUUCGGAAUUACUGGGCGUAAAGGGCGCGUAGGCGGCCAUUCAAGUUAGAUGUGAAAGCCCUGGGCUCAACCUAGGAAUUGCAUUUGAUACUGUUUGGCUUGAGUUCGGGAGAGGUGAGUGGAAUUCCCAGUGUAGAGGUGAAAUUCGUAGAUAUUGGGAAGAACACCAGUGGCGAAGGCGGCUCACUGGACCGACACUGACGCUGAGGCGCGAAAGCGUGGGGAGCGAACAGGAUUAGAUACCCGAGUAGUCCCUGUCUCUUAUAC